GACGACAAGACCCUAAAAGCUUUAGCCGGUGGUCGAGCUAAGUUAAAUUAAAUGAGGUUAUGAUUGAAUGGUGUUAGCUGGGGUAGUUUACCUGUAGAAAUUAGGCUUUUAAGAAAAUUUAUAAAUAAGAUUUAAGGUCUUUUAAAUAAAGAUAGGUUGGAUUAGUUACUUUAGGGAUAACAGCGUAAUAGUUUUGGAGAGAACUUAUUGAUAAAAUUGAUUGCGACCUCGAUGUUGAAUUAGGGGGUUUUUGUGAGGUAAAAGGUACAGAAGAUGGUUCGUUCAACCAGUAAAUUUCUACAUGAUCUGAGU
rnacentral:rRNA from 1 species